rnacentral:rRNA from 1 species
GACGAAUGCUGGCGGUGUGCUUAAUACAUGCAAGUCGAGCGAACAGACGAGGAUCUUACUCUUCUGACGUUAGCGGCGGACGGGUGAGUAACACGUGGAUAACCUACCUAUAAGACUGGGACAACUUCGAGAAACCGGAACUAAUACCGGAUAACAUUUUGAACCGCAUGGUUCAACAGUUAAAUACGGGCUUGCUGUCACUUCUACAUGGAUCCGCGUCGCAUUAGCUAGUUGGUAAGGUAACGGCUUACCAAGGCAACGAUGCGUAGCCGACCUGAGAGCGUGAUGGCCGACACUGAGACUGGACCGCGGUCCAGAGACCUAGGGGAGGCAGCGGUAGCGAAUGGACGGCGAUGGGGGGAAGACUGACCGAGCAGCGCAGCGUGAGUGCAGAGGGGCCUCGGAUCGUAUGACGGUGUUAUUGGGGAAGAACAAAUGUGUAAGUAACUAUGCACGUCGUGACGGUACCUAGUCAGAAAGCAACGGCUAACUACGUG